ACCUUAAUGAACAGUGUGAAAUACGCUAUAUAACCAUUCUAUCACCCCUUUAAAUGUUUUCAAGGCUU